UACGUAGGGUGCAAGCGUUGUCCGGAAUUAUUGGGCGUAAAGAGCUCGUAGGCGGCCUGUCGCGUCGGAUGUGAAAAUCCAAGGCUCAACCUUGGACCUGCAUUCGAUACGGGCAGGCUAGAGUUCGGUAGGGGAGACUGGAAUUCCUGGUGUAGCGGUGAAAUGCGCAGAUAUCAGGAGGAACACCGGUGGCGAAGGCGGGUCUCUGGGCCGAUACUGACGCUGAGGAGCGAAAGCGUGGGGAGCGAACAGG
rnacentral:rRNA from 1 species